AACCCAUGGUGUGGACAGGCUCUUAGAAGUUCUUUUUAUCUCUCCCAAGUGUCAAAAAAUGAUUCACCCUCUUGUUGCGUGAAUCUGGUUAUUUAGUUUCGUAGAAU